AGAGCGAACGCUGGCGGCAGGCCUAAUACAUGCAAGUCGAACGGAUCCUUCGGGAUUAGUGGCGGACGGGUGAGUAACACGUGGGAACGUGCCCUUUGGUUCAGAACAACUCAGGGAAACUUGAGCUAAUACUGGAUAAGCCCUUCGGGGGAAAGAUUUAUCGCCAUUGGAGCGGCCCGCGUCUGAUUAGCUAGUUGGUAGGGUAAAGGCCUACCAAGGCUUCGAUCAGUAGCUGGUCUGAGAGGAUGAUCAGCCACACUGGGACUGAGACACGGCCCAGACUCCUACGGGAGGCAGCAGUAGGGAAUCUGCGCAAUGGGCGAAAGCCUGACGCAGCCAUGCCGCGUGAAUGAUGAAGGUCUUAGGAUUGUAAAAUUCUUUCAGCGGGACGAUAAUGACGGUACCCGCAGAAGAACGCCCGGCUAACUUCGCGCCAGCAGCCGC
rnacentral:rRNA from 1 species